rnacentral:misc_RNA from 1 species
GAUGAAGAACGUAGCAAAAUGCGAUAAGUAAUGUGAAUUGCAGAAUUCAGUGAAUCAUCGAAUCUUUGAACGCACAUUGCGCCCGCUGGGAUUCCGGCGGGCAUGCCUGUUCGAGCGUCAUUUCAACCCUCAAGCCCCCGGGUUUGGUGUUGGGGAUCGGCUCUGCCCUUCUGGGCGGUGCCGCCCCCGAAAUACAUUGGCGGUCUCGCUGCAGCCUCCAUUGCGUAGUAGCUAACACCUCGCAACUGGAACGCGGCGCGGCCAUGCCGUAAAACCCCAACUUCUGAAUGUUGACCUCGGAUCAGGUAGGAAUACCCGCUGAACUUAAGCAUAUCAAUAAGCGGAGGA